rnacentral:misc_RNA from 1 species
GAUGAAGAACGCAGCGAAAUGCGAUAAGUAAAGUGAAUUGCAGAAUUCAGUGAAUCAUCGAAUCUUUGAACGCACAUUGCGCCCCUUGGUAUUCCGAGGGGCAUGCCUGUUCGAGCGUCAUUAUAACCCCUCAAGCUCAGCUUGGUGUUGGGGCCUGCUGCACUGGCAGCCCUUAAAAUCAGUGGCGGCGCCAUCUGGCUCUAAGCGUAGUAAUUCUUCUCGCUAUGGAGUCCUGGUGGAUGCUUGCCAUCAACCCCCAAUUUUUCUAUGGUUGACCUCGGAUCAGGUAGGGAUACCCGCUGAACUUAAGCAUAUCAAUAAGCGGAGGA